rnacentral:rRNA from 1 species
GAUGAACGCUGGCGGCGUGCUUAACACAUGCAAGUCGAACGAGAAGUGAAGACGGAAACCUUCGGGCGGAAGACUUCAUUUCGAGUGGCGGACGGGUGAGUAACGCGUGGGUAACCUGCCUCAUACAGGGGGAUAACAGCUGGAAACGACUGUUAAUACCGCAUAAGACCACAGCACCGCAUGGUGCGGGGGUAAAAACUCCGGUGGUAUGAGAUGGACCCGCGUUCGAUUAGCCAGUUGGCGGGGUAACGGCCCACCAAAGCGACGAUCGAUAGCCGAUCUGAGAGGAUGACCGGCCACAUUGGGACUGAGACACGGCCCAAACUCCUACGGGAGGCAGCAGUGGGGAAUAUUGCACAAUGGGGGAAACCCUGAUGCAGCGACGCCGCGUGAGUGAAGAAGUAUUUCGGUAUGUAAAGCUCUAUCAGCAGGGAAGAAAAGACGGUACCGA